CAGAAUUGUAGUUUAACUAAAAUAUUAGCAUUGGAAGCUAAAGAUUAAGAAAAAUUCUUACAUUCUGA
rnacentral:tRNA from 1 species